UGUUGUAACAGUGCUGUGUGAAAGCCUGAAUCCGUUUCCAAGCUGGUGAGAAAAGGAAUGUACUGUCAAACCAGGAGGAGAGAAGCUCUGUGCUGGGCCAGUAAGAGAAGAAGGAAGGCACUCAUAUCGGGACAUGAGCAUCAUGCCCUGCAAGUAUCCAUUCACUCCCCUGUCUGUGCAGAUACUCGAGGCAGCUAUCUCAGGGGCAAAGGUCUGUGUUUUGUUAGAUCAGUCAAGGAGCCUGUGAAGAUAUCUCCUAACUCCAGAUAUAAGGAAGCAUGACAAGUAUUUUAAAAUUGCAGGUAAUAGCCUCCCAGAAGUCCUGUCGUGGAUGUGGCUUGGAUGUCCAGGAAGUCUCAAAUGGUGCUAGGUAUGUCCGGUAUACUUUACGUCUCACCCCAACAGAAAAAAUCCAAGACUCCUGCUUGAAAGGGCAAUAUAGCUCAUGUGGAGUGCUCUUUUUAAGCAUUUGCCAUCCUGCAUAA